rnacentral:rRNA from 1 species
GUGGGGAAUAUUGGACAAUGGGCGCAAGCCUGAUCCAGCCAUGCCGCGUGAGUGAUGAAGGCCCUAGGGUUGUAAAGCUCUUUCACCGGUGAAGAUAAUGACGGUAACCGGAGAAGAAGCCCCGGCUAACUUCGUGCCAGCAGCCGCGGUAAUACGAAGGGGGCUAGCGUUGUUCGGAAUUACUGGGCGUAAAGCGCACGUAGGCGGACUGGUCAGUUAGGGGUGAAAUCCCAGGGCUCAACCCUGGAACUGCCUUUAAUACUGCCAGUCUAGAGUUCGAGAGAGGUGAGUGGAAUUCCGAGUGUAGAGGUGAAAUUCGUAGAUAUUCGGAGGAACACCAGUGGCGAAGGCGGCUCACUGGCUCGAUACUGACGCUGAGGUGCGAAAGCGUGGGGAGCAAACAGGAUUAGAAACCCCAGUAGUCC